rnacentral:rRNA from 1 species
GUUCCUACGGGGGGCAGCAGUAGGGAAUUUUCGUCAAUGGGCGCAAGCCUGAACGAGCAAUGCCGCGUGAACGAGGAAGGUCUUCGGAUCGUAAAGUUCUGUUGAAGGGGAAAAAGAGCGGAGAGAGGAAAUGGUCUCCGAUUGAUAUUACCCUUCGAGGAAGUCACGGCUAACUACGUGCCAGCAGCCGCGGUAAUACGUAAGUGGCGAGCGUUAUCCGGAAUGAUUGGGCGUAAAGGGUGCGUAGGCGGCCUGCUAAGUCUGGAGUGAAAGGUACCGGCUCAACCGGAGAAUUGCAUCAGAAA